rnacentral:rRNA from 1 species
AGUGGCGAACGGGUGAGUAAUACAUCGGAACGUGCCCUGUAGUUGGGGAUAACUAGUCGAAAGAUUAGCUAAUACCGCAUACGACCUGAGGGUGAAAGUGGGGGACCGCAAGGCCUCAUGCUAUAGGAGCGGCCGAUGUCUGAUUAGCUAGUUGGUGAGGUAAAGGCUCACCAAGGCGACGAUCAGUAGCUGGUCUGAGAGGACGAUCAGCCACACUGGGACUGAGACACGGCCCAGACUCCUACGGGAGGCAGCAGUGGGGAAUUUUGGACAAUGGGGGCAACCCUGACCCAGCAAUGCCGCGUGUGUGAAGAAGGCCUUCGGGUUGUAAAGCACUUUUGUCCGGAAAGAAAUCGCACUUACUAAUAUUAGGUGUGGAUGACGGUACCGGAAGAAUAAGGACCGGCUAACUACGUGCCAGCAGCCGCGGUAAUACGUAGGGUCCAAACGUUAAUCGGAAUUACUGGGCGUACAGCGUGCGCAUGCGGUUGUGCAAGACCGAUGUGAAAUCCCCGGGCUUAACCUGGGAAUUGCAUUGGUGACUGCACGGCUAGAGUGUGUCAGAGGGGGGUAGAAUUCCACGUGAAGCAGUGAAAUGCGUAGAGAUGUGGAGGAAUACCGAUGGCGAAGCCAGCCCCCUGGGAUAACACUGACGCUCAUGCACGAAAGCGUGGGGAGCAAACAUGAAUAGAUACCCUGGUAUUCCACGCCCUAAACGAUGUCAACUAGUUGUUGGGGAUUCAUGUCCUUAGUAACGUAGCUAACGCGUGAAGUUGACCGCCUGGGGAGUACGGUCGCAAGAUUAAAAAUCAAAGGAAUUGACGGGGACCCGCACAAGCGGUGGAUGAUGUGGAUAAAUUCGAUGCAACGCGAAAAACCUUACCUACCCUUGACAUGCCACUAACGAAGCAGAGAUGCAUUAGGUGCUCGAAAGAGAAAGUGGACACAGGUGCUGCAUGGCUGUCGUCAGCUCGUGUCGUGAGAUGUUGGGUUAUGUCCCGCAACGAGCGCAACCCUUGUCUCUAGUUGCUACGAAAGGGCAGUCUAGAGAGACUGCCGGUGACAAACCGGAGGAAGGUGGGGAUGACGUCAAGUCCUCAUGGCCCUUAUGGGUAGGGCUUCACACGUUAUACAAUGGUGCAUACAGAGGGUUGCCAAGCCGCGAGGUGGAGCUAAUCCCACACAAUGCAUCGUAGUCCGGAUCGUAGUCUGUCACUCGACUACGUGAAGCUGGAAUCGCUA